AGUGAACGCUGGCGGCGUGCUUAACACAUGCAAGUCGAACGAGAACGGAAUAUAGCUUGCUAUAUUUGUCAGCUAAGUGGCGCACGGGUGAGUAAUGUAUAGAUAACCUGCCCUUAAGAAAGGAAUAACAGUUGGAAACGACUGCUAUGCCCUAUAUGCCUUUAAUACAUAAGUAUGCAAGGGAAACGCUUUAGUGCUUAAGGAUGGGUCUGUAUGGUAUCAGCUUGUUGGUGAGGUAAUGGCUCACCAAGGCUAUGACGCCUAACUGGUUUGAGAGGAUGAUCAGGCACACUGGAACUGAGACACGGUCCAGAAUCCUACGGGAGGCAGCAGUGGGGAAUAUUGCACAAUGGACGAAGGUCUGAUGCAGCAACGCCGCGUGGAGGAUGACACAUUUCGGUGCGUAAACUCCUUUUAUAUAGGAAGAUAAUGACGGUACUAUAUGAAUAAGCACCGGCUAACUCCGUGCCAGCCGCCGCAGUAAAAC
rnacentral:rRNA from 1 species